rnacentral:rRNA from 1 species
UACGGAGGGUGCGAACGUUAAUCGGAAUCACUGGGCGUAAAGCGCGCGUAGGCGGUUUGUUAAGUGGGAUGUGAAAGCCCCGGGCUUAACCUGGGAAUUGCAUUUCAAACUGGCGAACUAGAGUGCGGUAGAGGGAGGUAGAAUUUCCUGUGUAGCGGUGAAAUGCGUAGAUAUAGGAAGGAAUACCAGUGGCGAAGGCGGCCUCCUGGAUCGACACUGACGCUAAGGCGCGAAAGCGUGGGGAGCAAACAGGG